rnacentral:rRNA from 1 species
UCAGAACUCCGAAGUUAAGCGUGCUUCGGCGAGAGUAGGACUAGGAUGGGUGACCUCCUGGGAAGUCCUCGUGUUGCAUUCC